rnacentral:rRNA from 1 species
AUUGAACGCUGGCGGCAGGCCUAACACAUGCAAGUCGAGCGGAGCGGCGGACGGGCGAGUAAUGCCUAGGAAUCUGCCUGGUAGUGGGGGAUAACGUCCGGAAACGGGCGCUAAUACCGCAUACUAUCAGAUGAGCCUAGGUCGGAUUAGCUAGUUGGUGGGGUAAAGGCCUACCAAGGCGACGAUCCGUAACUGGUCUGAGAGGAUGAUCAGUCACACUGGGAAUGGUGCCCGGCCCCGGCUCCCACGGGGGGCAACAGUGGGGGAUCGUCCGGAAUGGGCGAAAAUCUGAAGGAGCAAAGGCGGGUGGUGUAUAAAGGGCUUCGGGUUGUAAAACUCUUUAAGCGGGGAGGCGGUACCCGAAUAGAAAGCAACGGCUAACUACGUGCCAGCAGCCGCGGUAAUAC